GGCCCGAUGGUGUAGUUGGUUAUCGUGUCGGGCAGUCUAACACACUAAAGCUCUCCAGCUCGAGUCUGGAUCGGAUCA